rnacentral:rRNA from 1 species
UGAGGAAUAUUGGUCAAUGGGCGAGAGCCUGAACCAGCCAAGUAGCGUGCAGGAUGACGGCCCUAUGGGUUGUAAACUGCUUUUAUGUGGGGAUAAAGUGCGUGACGUGUCAUGCAUUGCAGGUACCACAUGAAUAAGGACCGGCUAAUUCCGUGCCAGCAGCCGCGGUAAUACGGAAGGUCCGGGCGUUAUCCGGAUUUAUUGGGUUUAAAGGGAGCGUAGGCUGUCUAUUAAGCGUGUUGUGAAAUAUACCGGCUCAACCGGUGGCUUGCAGCGCGAACUGGUCGACUUGAGUAUGCAGGAAGUAGGCGGAAUUCAUGGUGUAGCGGUGAAAUGCUUAGAUAUCAUGACGAACUCCGAUUGCGCAGGCAGCUUACUGUAGCAUAACUGACGCUGAUGCUCGAAAGUGCGGUUAUCAAACAGG